rnacentral:rRNA from 1 species
UGGGGAAUUUUGGACAAUGGGGGCAACCCUGAUCCAGCAAUGCCGCGUGUGUGAAGAAGGCCUUCGGGUUGUAAAGCACUUUUGUCCGGAAAGAAAGCAUCCCUGUUAAUACCGGGGGUGGAUGACGGUACCGGAAGAAUAAGCACCGGCUAACUACGUGCCAGCAGCCGCGGUAAUACGUAGGGUGCGAGCGUUAAUCGGAAUUACUGGGCGUAAAGCGUGCGCAGGCGGUGAUGUAAGACCGAUGUGAAAUCCCCGGGCUUAACCUGGGAACUGCAUUGGUGACUGCAUCGCUAGAGUAUGGCAGAGGGGGGUGGAAUUCCACGUGUAGCAGUGAAAUGCGUAGAGAUGUGGAGGAACACCGAUGGCGAAGGCAGCCCCCUGGGCCAAUACUGACGCUCAUGCAAGAAAGCGUGGGGAGCAAACAGG